GGUAGGAUGGCUGAGUAAGAGGUGGAUUGUAGCCCCAUAUACAGAGGUUUGAGCCCUCUUCUUAUCA
rnacentral:tRNA from 1 species